GAGUUUGAUCCUGGCUCAGAACGAACGCUGGCGGCAGGCUUAACACAUGCAAGUCGAACGUGAAGCAGGAGCUUGCUCCUGUGGAAAGUGGCAGACGGGUGAGUAACGCGUGGGAAUUUACCCAGUGGUUCGGAAUAACGCAUGGAAACGUGUGCUAAUACCGAAUACGCCCUCCGGGGGAAAGAUUUAUCGCCAUUGGAUGAGCCCGCGUCGGAUUAGCUAGUUGGUGAGGUAAAAGCUCACCAAGGCGACGAUCCGUAGCUGGUCUGAGAGGAUGAUCAGCCACACUGGGACUGAGACACGGCCCAGACUCCUACGGGAGGCAGCAGUGGGGAAUAUUGCGCAAUGGAGGAAACUCUGACGCAGCCAUGCCGCGUGAGUGAAGAAGGCCUUAGGGUUGUAAAACUCUUUCGCUAGGGAAGAUAAUGACGGUACCUAGUAAAGAAGCCCCGGCCAACUCCGUGCCAGCAGCCGCGGUAAUACGGAGGGGGCUAGCGUUGUUCGGAAUUACUGGGCGUAAAGCGCGCGUAGGCGGGCUGGUUAGUUGGGGGGUGAAAUCCCAGGGCUCAACCCUGGAACUGCCCUCAAUACUGCCAGUCUUGAGUUCGAGAGAGGUAAGUGGAAUUCCUAGUGUAGAGGUGAAAUUCGUAGAUAUUAGGAAGAACACCAGUGGCGAAGGCGGCUUACUGGCUCGAUACUGACGCUGAGGCGCGAAAGUGUGGGGAGCAAACAGGAUUAGAUACCCUGGUAGUCACGCGAUACCCUGGUAGUCCACGCCGUAAACGAUGGGUGCUAGUGUUCAGGCAGCUUGCUGUUUGGUGACGCAGCUAACGCGUUAAGCACCCCGCCUGGGGACUACGGUCGCAAGACUAAAACUCAAAGGAAUUGACGGGGGCCCGCACAAGCGGUGGAGCAUGUGGUUUAAUUCGAGGCAACGCGAAGAACCUUACCAGCUUUUGACAUCCCGGUCGCGGUUACCAGAGAUGGUUUCCUUCAGUUCGGCUGGACCGGUGACAGGUGCUGCAUGGUUGUCGUCAGCUCGUGUCGUGAGAUGUUGGGUUAAGUCCCGCAACGAGCGCAACCCUCGCCUUUAGUUGCCAGCAUUAAGUUGGGCACUCUAGAGGGACUGCCGGUGAUAAGCCGGAGGAAGGUGGGGAUGACGUCAAAUCAUCAUGGCCCUUACGGGCUGGGCUACACACGUGCUACAAUGGCGGUGACAGUGAGCAGCCACUCAGCAAUGGGGAGCUAAUCUCUAAAAGCCGUCUCAGUUCGGAUUGUUCUCUGCAACUCGAGAGCAUGAAGUUGGAAUCGCUAGUAAUCGUGGAUCAGCAUGCCACGGUGAAUACGUUCCCGGGCCUUGUACACACCGCCCGUCACACCAUGGGAGUUGGUUUUACCCGAAGACUGUGUGCUAACUUAGGAGGCAGCAGGCCACGGUAAGGUCAGCGACUGGGGUGAAGUCGUAACAAGGUAGCCGUAGGGGAACCUGCGGCUGGAUCACCUCCUUUCU
rnacentral:rRNA from 1 species